CCCUGCCCCAAGCCCGGCAUCGUCGAGGCCCAUUAGUCUGGAAAAAAAAAAUAGAAAGCGGAAGAAAUCGGGGCGUCGUCUUCGUCGCCGAUCUUGCUCGUCUCCGCCGUGGAUCCCCCAAAUCGCGGGCAGCCUCAUCCGGAUUUGCACGGAGCUCGCGACGAUUUUGAUGAGAUAGACGCCUACGCCAGCCAAGACCUUGCUAUGCUGCGGACGGUGGUUGUCGCCCUCCUCGUCUGCGCCGCACUCUAUUUCUCCUUCUUCGCCUACUACCGUCGCCAGGGCAUUGCAGAGGUUCACUUACCAGCUGUUACUCACAGGGUCUACCUAGAUGUGGAAAUUGACAGACAGCACAUAGGCAGAAUUGUUAUUGGUCUUUAUGGGGAGGUUGUUCCUAAAACAGUUGAAAACUUUAGGGCGCUUUGCACAGGUGAAAAAGGUGUUGGGUCCAAUGGCAAACCUCUUCAUUAUAAAGGAACCCCAUUCCAUCGUAUCAUCCCUGGUUUCAUGAUUCAAGGUGGUGACAUAGUUAGAGGUGAUGGGAAAGGAAGUGAGUCUAUAUAUGGAGGCAUCUUCCCAGAUGAGAACUUCAGCGUAAAACAUACUCAUCCAGGUCAGAUUGUUUGUCUAAUAUUUGCAUUGUCCAGUUUUCACAAAGCCUUUAUUUAUCAGUUUAAAUUCCACUUCUAUUUUCAAGGAAAACCACCACUAUUUUCUCCAGUGCUGAUCUGAUUUGGAAGAAUAAGUUAAAUGACAAUUUGGAUUACAGCAGAGACUCAGUGGUUUGGUUCAACAUGUAGGUAUACAGUAGCUCAAAAAUAUUAUAUAGCUAACAUAUAUGGAGCUAUUUGUCAUCACUGAGUGCUACUAUUCCAGUGUUGUUCCUGUUGUUUUACUUGUUAUGUUUCUUUCACCUGAUCCGUAGGGGCACUUGUAUAGCUGCCAGUUUCUAAGUUUGGCCAAAGUGUUGUUGCUAUGGCUAAUUCUGGACUUGACUCCAAUGGGUCCCAGUUUUACAUAACUACAAUCAAGACAAGCUGGUUGGAUGGAGAGCAUGUUGUCUUCGGCAGGGUGAUCCAGGGAAUGGAUACGGUGUAUGCCAUUGAAGGGGGUGCUGGCACUUACACUGGCAAGCCGAGGAAGAAGGCUGUGAUUACUGACUCGGGUGAGAUACCCAAGGAGAAAUGGGGUGAUCAGGAGACGUAGACUCUCUCUGCCUGCUCUGUUGCAUGUACUGAACCAUGACAAGCUGCCUUUUGAGUUUUGAUCUGUCGUCUUGUGCCACAGUCCAGUCGGGGCGUCGAGAAUGGUGUAUAUUGUAGCCAGUUUAUAGCCACUCCCAUUAACACUGAUUAUAUUUAUAUGGCUUAGUUUGUGAUGUUGCAACGUUAACACGCACAAGUCUUCCAAAAAAUUGUUUUAGCCAGCUGUGUAACCUUGAUGGGCUGUUCUGCUGUUACAGAGGAGUUACGUUUUUGGUGA